rnacentral:rRNA from 1 species
UACGUAGGAUGCAAGCGUUAUCCGGAAUGAUUGGGCGUAAAGCGUCCGCAGGUGGCUGUGUAAGUCUGCUGUUAAAGAGUCUAGCUCAACUAGAUAAAAGCAGUGGAAACUACACGGCUAGAGUACGUUCGGGGCAGAGGGAAUUCCUGGUGUAGCGGUGAAAUGCGUAGAGAUCAGGAAGAACACCGGUGGCGAAGGCGCUCUGCUAGGCCGUAACUGACACUGAGGGACGAAAGCUAGGGGAGCGAAUGGG